GGCUCAGGAUGAACGCCAGCGACAGGCUUAACACAUGCAAGUCGAGGGGCAGCAUAAAAGUAGCAAUACUUGGUGGCGACCGGCGCACGGGUGAGUAACGCGUAUGCAACCUACCUAUCAGAGGGGAAUAACCCGGCGAAAGUCGGACUAAUACCGCAGUAAAACAGGGGCACCGCAUGGUGAUAUUGUUAAAGAAAUUCGCUGAUAGAUGGGCAUGCGUUCCAUUAGGUAGUUGGUGAGGUAACGGCUCACCAAGCCGACGAUGGAUAGGGGAACUGAGAGGUUGGUCCCCCACACUGGUACUGAGACACGGACCAGACUCCUACGGGAGGCAGCAGUGAGGAAUAUUGGUCAAUGGGCGAGAGCCUGAACCAGCCAAGUCGCGUGAAGGAAGAAGGAUCUAUGGUUCGUAAACUUCUUUUGCAGGGGAAUAAAGUGCAGGACGUGUCCUGUUUUGUAUGUACCCUGAGAAUAAGGAUCGGCUAACUCCGUGCCAGCCGCCGC
rnacentral:rRNA from 1 species